AUGUAUAGCGUGCAAAACUCGGGGCAUUGCCCCGCCUACAACUCGGCAUUGACCCUGCGGCACCUAUUUACGCAACGUUCGUUGACCUAGCGUCAGUCAGAUGUUUUAUUUUGCAAUAGUUACAUUGUAA